UAAAUGUAAACCUUGAUAAGGAAUUGACUACCUUAUCAUUGCAACUCAGUAUGGUAUCCAUCUCCAGUUUAUUUUCCUGAGAUGAGCUCAUACAGAUUAUAUUGUUCCACCUAAGCAUUUUAUCAUGAUCCAUCAAUUCAAGAGCAUAAUUCCUUGUAUCUGACAGAACAAACUUGUAAUUAGCCUAAAGGAACAAAUCAUUGUUGUAAAGCAUUGUCUUUUGCUGUCGUCUAGGAGGUGGAACUCUAGGUUGAGGACAAGCAAUGGAGUCAUGGUCAGCGUUCAUCAUCUGGGCAAUUCUUCCUGAUGGGUGUGCACUGCCUCCUUGACUACUGAUAGGACCAUACUCACUACUCAUCGCUUUGAAGUGUAAUAAACCUUCUUCAACAGCUCCUACACUAAAACAUGUUAUAAUAACUACCACAAAAAUCUCCUUAUCAGAAUGUACCCCCAAUUUUUUUAUCCCCUCAAACAACAACCCAUUAUAGCCCUGCCAAUUCACUGCAUACUGGCUUAUCAACAAUCACCAAGAACCCAUGUUCCUCUUCCACAUUCUAUCAAACAUCUGACGUUCAUCUCUCAUACUCCCACACUUUCCAUACAUUUCCAUGAAUUUGUUGUUCAUUUCAAUCACCUACAAACGGUGAUAUUUCGAUAACCCAAGUGCCUUUUUACCCAUAUCAAGAGGCAAACUUCUCUUCCCAUAGAGUGUACUUAAAUCAUUCACCUUUUUGGAAAAAUCACCAAAAUCCUUUGCAGCUGGAGCCAAUAGGCAUGAAUUUGGGUAAAAAUUAUCAAAAGAAUUCAGACAAUCUUGCAUGGAAUCUGGCUUCUUCAGGUUGUUACUACUUGUGGCGGUACUUUCUUGGAUUUGUGGCAGCUCCGGCAACUCCAUUUGACCUUCAUUCUCAUCUUCUUUUUGUUCAUGGAUAACACCACCAGGACUCUCAUAUCUGUCCCCACAACCCACAGCUUCAUCCACAAUAAAAUCAUCUUCAUCGUUGAUGAUAGUCACAAAUAAGGGUGCUUUAUCACAAUUGUGACUCAAUGAAUAGGUCUCCUCACACCUUGAAUUGAGACCUUUAUUCCUUCUUUCAUUUAAUUCUGAUAAAUUUCUUGUGAUUGAAUAUUCCACUGCUUUUGACGAUCAAGAAAGGAAGAAUAGGAUAAAUGAGAAUGUAACAGAGAAAAGAAAAGUAACAAGAAACCCAAUCUCAGAGAAACCCAAGAAGAAGAGUGAAACAGAAAAACCCUAGAUCAAGAAAGGAGGGAUAUGAGAUGAAGAAUUAGCAGCAGAAUCCAUGGCCAAGGACCAUUAGCUCUGAUACCAAUUGAUAUGAUUCAGGAAAAAAGAAAAAAACCAGAGAGACGAAGGAAAGAAUCAAAGAGAAAUGGGAGGAUCCAGAGAAGAGAAACAGAGAAAGAAAACCAAUUCAUUGACAUCAAGAAUCAGAAUGAAUUGCAAUGCUGAGAUUAUAGCUUUUACAGUUCUUGAACUAACUAACAAUACACGUGUACAGUUCUAACUCUCUCUCUUUAUUCCCACACAUAUUAUAACAACCUCCAACAGCAGUGGUCUUCUCGCCAAACAACAGUAUCGUAUCAAUCAUUUCUACAUAUAUACAUAUGCACACAAUUCCAUCUUUUUUUUUUUUUUUGACUUUCACAAUUCCAUUUAAUUUGCUAUACAACAUAAUUGAUUUCGUUUUUUCAACCUCUUGGCUACUUACAUACGAUGUCAUUUUUGCCUAGGAAGUGAGAAGAAGGCAGCAGA
rnacentral:misc_RNA from 1 species